rnacentral:tRNA from 1 species
CCCCUGGUGGCUCAGAAGGUAAAGCGUCUGCCUACAAUGCAGGAGACCCAAGUUCAAUCCCUGGGUUGGGAA